GACGAACGCUGGCGGCGUGCUUAACACAUGCAAGUCGAACGGAGUGGCGAACGGGCGAGUAACUCGUGGUUGACCUGCCCUGCACUUCGGGAUAAUCCUGGGAAACUGGGUCUAAUAACGGAUAGUGUGGGAUGGGCUCGCGGCCUAUGUGCUUGUUGGUGGGGUAAUGGCCUACCAAGGCAGCGACGGGUAGCCGGCCUGGGAGGGUUGACGGCCACAUUGGGACUGAGACACGGCCCAGAGUCCUACGGGAGGCAGCAGUGGGGAAUAUUGCGCAAUUGGCGGAAGCCUGAUGCAGCGACGCCGGGGGGGGGAUGACGGCCUUCGGGUUGUAAACUCCUUUCACCAUCGACGCGGUAGAUGGAGAAGAAGCACCGGCUAACUACGUGCCAGCAGCCGCGGUAAUUC
rnacentral:rRNA from 1 species